CCUACGGGUGGCAGCAGUGAGGAAUAGUGGUCAAUGGGCGCGAGCCUGAACCAGCCAAGUAGCGUGAAGGAUGACUGCCCUACGGGUUGUAAACUUCUUUUAUAAAGGAAUAAAGUGAGGCACGUGUGCCUCUUUGUAUGUACCUUAUGAAUAAGGAUCGGCUAACGCCGGGCCAGCAGCCGCGGUAAUACGGAGGAUCCGAGCGUUAUCCGGAUUUAUUGGGUUUAAAGGGAGCGUAGAUGGGUUGUUAAGUCAGUGGUGAAAGUUUGCGGCUCAACCGUAAAAUUGCAAUUGAUACUGGCAGCCUUGCGUACAGUUGAGGUAGGCGCAUUUCGUGGUGUCGC
rnacentral:rRNA from 1 species